UCUUCACUCUCCACUCCCUCACACUCUCCUCCUCUCCUACACCACGAAAUGCUGCUCCUCCUAGCAACCAUGGCCGGCCAUGGCCAUGGAAACCUCUCCAAGAUGCAACUCCCUCCUUCCUCAAGCUUCCCCUCACCAUGAGAGCUUCCCUCUCCCUCUCUUCUCCCCUAACCCUAGAUGAAUCCAGCUCUAUUUCUCCUUUCUCCUCUCACUAGAUUGGAUCUUGAUGCAGGUGCAUGUUGGUCCAAGCAUGGAGAAGGUUGGGCUAUCCUCAGAUCUGAAGUUCUUGAGCAAAAUCUAAAUCGAGUGAUUCAAAGUUUCGCAGAUAGGUAUUAAAAAGAUCUACAACUUGGCGUUGGUCUCAUCCUCAAAUUCUUUACGGAUUUUGCAUGAUCAAGAUCUGGUCAGAUCUGACUUUAUCGAAUUAAACCAGGAGCUUGGAAACGAAUUUUUGAAUGAAACUAACUGGAUGCGAACAAUUCUGGAGAAGAAGAAGAAGUGGAAUCGGACGAGGAUUUUAUUUAUAUAUGUUGUUGGAAUUCUUAUAUUGAUGGAGUUGAAGAAGUACAGGGACAAAUAAGCCAAGGCAAGCCAUCUUUUGAUCUCUUGCUAUUUAUCCUUCUUGUUGUGCUCAUUGCUCCACUAUAUACUUGGUUCCUUGUAUCAUGUGUGAUUUUUGGUCCUCUACUCUAUGCAUACUUAUUCCCAAAGUAUGUUGAACCCCUUGUUGAUGCUUUGUAUACUUGCUCCCAAGUAUGUGAACCACCUUGUUGAUGUUAUGCAUGCUUACCCUAAGCAUGUAUGCCCCCCUGACCAUAUCCAUGUUGUCAUCUUCUUAGUGGUAUGAUGAUUAACAUCAUGACCCGUGUUUGAAUCAUCUUAAUUAUGUUGUCCCUAUACAUGCUUAUCCUAAAGUAUGUAUGAUCCCCUUAACACCUCAAUUAUCAUCCCCUUAGUGGUAUGAUGGCUAGCAUCAUGACAUUGUGACUCUUAGUUCCUUCAUAAAACUAUAGGUUGGGAACCC